rnacentral:rRNA from 1 species
UGGGGAAUAUUGGACAAUGGGGGAAACCCUGAUCCAGCGACGCCGCGUGAGUGAAGAAGUAUUUCGGUAUGUAAAGCUCUAUCAGCAAGGAAGAAAAUGACGGUACUUGACUAAGAAGCCCCGGCUAACUACGUGCCAGCAGCCGCGGUAAUACGUAGGUGGCGAGCGUUAUCCGGAUUUACUGGGUGUAAAGGGUGAGUAGGCGGGAAGGCAAGUCAGAUGUGAAAUGCAAUGGCUCAACCAUUGAAUUGCAUUUGAAACUGUUUUUCUUGAGAGUCGGAGAGGUAAUCGGAAUUCCUAGUGUAGCGGUGAAAUGCGUAGAGAUUAGGAGGAACACCAGUGGCGAAGGCGGAUUACUGGACGACAACUGACGCUGAGACACGAAAGC